UUGUUAAUAGACCACACGAUAAAAGAAGCCCAACGCCCACCCACUAUAAGCCCACCUCGAUCGCUCGAGCCCAUGUCGAGUUCACCCCACCUCGACCCUCCCGGAAGAAGAAACGGAAGCUGUGGCGAUCGCGACACGUCCAGGACUCGAAGCUGCUUGCUGUUACGCCUUCUCGAUGAUCUUGGUGGGAAGAAUCUGAAUCGCUACAAGAUGAUGUCCCACAAACUUCUCACCUGCAGCUUUUUGCAAGACCCUGAUUACAGCAAUGAAAAAUGUAUAGGGUAGCUGACGCAAAAUAAGACAGCUAUAACAAACUUGGAGGAGAUAGGACAUACAAAGCUUUUUGUGCGACUUGUCCCAUGGACAACAAGGUUCGUCAUAUUUCCAAUGAGGCUAUCUUCCCUGAAGUUUGGUAUCACUGCACCGAUCCAGGUUCUUCCUGGGUCAGGGUAUCUAUCGGCAAUCAUAUAGUUAAAGCAUCCAGAACAGUGAACCGUGAAAAGAGUC